AGUGGCGUACGGGUGAGUAACAUUUGAAUCAUCUGCCCUUUAGUGGGGAAUAACCCUGGGAAACCGGGGCUAAUACCGCAUAAGCCUGAGAAGGGAAAGCAGCAAUGCGCUGAAGGAGGAGUCCGCGGCCGAUUAGCUAGUUGGUAGGGUAAUGGCCUACCAAGGCAAUGAUCGGUAGCCGGCCUGAGAGGGCACACGGCCACACUGGCACUGAAACACGGGCCAGACUCCUACGGGAGGCAGCAGUGGGGAAUCUUGCACAAUGGAGGAAACUCUGAUGCACCGACGCCGCGUGAGCGAUGAACCCCUUCGGGGUGUAAAGCUCUUUCGACGGGAACGAUAAUGACGGUACCCGGAAAAAAAGCUGCGGCUAACUACGUGCCACCACCCGCGGUAAUACGUAGGCGCAAGCGUUGUUCGGAAUUUCUUGGGCGUAAAAGAGGGGGUAGGGGGUUCCCUAAUUUCGGGGGGGAAAUCCCCUGGCUCAACUUGGGAGGGUGCGCCGGA
rnacentral:rRNA from 1 species